rnacentral:rRNA from 1 species
GAUGAACGCUGGCGGCGUGCCUAAUACAUGCAAGUCGAGCGAAUGGAUUGAGAGCUUGCUCUUAUGAAGUUAGCGGCGGACGGGUGAGUAACACGUGGGUAACCUGCCCAUAAGACUGGGAUAACUCCGGGAAACCGGGGCUAAUACCGGAUAACAUUUUGAACCGCAUGGUUCGAAAUUGAAAGGCGGCUUCGGCUGCCACUUAUGGAUGGACCCGCGUCGCAUCAGCUAGUUGGUGAGGUAACGGCUCACCAAGGCAACGAUGCGUAGCCGACCUGAGAGGGUGAUCGGCCACACUGGGACUGAGACACGGCCCAGACUCCUACGGGAGGCAGCAGUAGGGAAUCUUCCGCAAUGGACGAAAGUCUGACGGAGCAACGCCGCGUGAGUGAUGAAGGCUUUCGGGUCGUAAAACUCUGUUGUUAGGGAAGAACAAGUGCUAGUUGAAUAAGCUGGCACCUUGACGGUACCUAACCGGAAAGCCACGGCUAACUACGUGCCAGCCGCCGCGGUAA